AUUGAACGCUGGCGGAAUGCUUUACACAUGCAAGUCGAACGGCAGCACGGACUUCGGUCUGGUGGCGAGUGGCGAACGGGUGAGUAAUGUAUCGGAACGUGCCCAGUCGUGGGGGAUAACGUAGUAAAAAUUACGCUAAUACCGCAUACGAUCUAUGGAUGAAAGCGGGGGAUCGCAAGACCUCGCGCGAUUGGAGCGGCCGAUAUCAGAUUAGGUAGUUGGUGGGGUAAAGGCCCACCAAGCCAACGAUCUGUAGCUGGUCUGAGAGGACGACCAGCCACACUGGAACUGAGACACGGUCCAGACUCCUACGGGAGGCAGCAGUGGGGAAUUUUGGACAAUGGGCGAAAGCCUGAUCCAGCCAUUCCGCGUGCAGGAUGAAGGCCCUCGGGUUGUAAACUGCUUUUGUACAGAACGAAAAGGCUUCUACUAAUACUAGGAGCUCAUGACGGUACUGUAAGAAUAAGCACCGGCUAACUACGUGCCAGCAGCCGCCGUAA
rnacentral:rRNA from 1 species